UGAGGCAGGGGGAUCGUUGUGAGUUCGAGGGCAGCCUGGGCUACAAAGUGAGCUCAGGGCCAGCCUGAACUGCAUAACGAAGACCCUGUCUCUCUUUUUUUUUUUUUUGUCUUUUUAAGACAGGGUCUCGCUAUGUAGUUCAGGCUGGCCCUGAGCUCACUUUGUAGCCCAGGCUAGCCUCGAACUCACAAAGAUCCCCCUGCCUCAGCCUCCUAGUGCUGGGAGUACAGGCGUGUGCCACCACACCCAGC
rnacentral:SRP_RNA from 1 species